rnacentral:rRNA from 1 species
UGGGGAAUAUUGCACAAUGGGCGAAAGCCUGAUCCAGCCAUGCCGCGUGUGUGAAGAAGGUCUUCGGAUUGUAAAGCACUUUAAGUUGGGAGGAAGGGCAUUAACCUAAUACGUUAGUGUUUUGACGUUACCGACAGAAUAAGCACCGGCUAACUCUGUGCCAGCAGCCGCGGUAAUACAGAGGGUGCAAGCGUUAAUCGGAAUUACUGGGCGUAAAGCGCGCGUAGGUGGUCUGUUAAGUUGGAUGUGAAAUCCCCGGGCUCAACCUGGGAACUGCAUUCAAAACUGACUGACUAGAGUAUGGUAGAGGGUGGUGGAAUUUCCUGUGUAGCGGUGAAAUGCGUAGAUAUAGGAAGGAACACCAGUGGCGAAGGCGACCACCUGGACUAAUACUGACACUGAGGUGCGAAAGCGUGGGGAGCAAACA